AAUAGCCUAACGGCUGAACCAGCAACUUGGAGGAAUGUAUAGCAAUAGCUAAUUGCACUAAAGUUAGUGUAAUAUCGACUAUGUCGGAUAAAAUUCUAGGUAGAUUUUGAUAAUGACAUUUUCUACCAAUGUCUUGACCAAAUUGCGUGCCAGCAGUCGCGGUAAUACGCAGAAGAUUAGUGUUAUUCAUCUUUAAUUGGUUUAAAGGGUACCUAGACGGUAAAUUAAGCUUAUGAGAACUAAUUUGCUAGAGUUUGUAUGUAAAGGUAAUUUUUAAGUACUGUUGUAAGCACUUAGCGAUGAAAUGCUGUGACGCCAAAUGGUGAACAGGUUUAGGCGAAAGCAUAUCCUUAUGUAAAAACUGACGUUGAGGGACGAAGGCUAUUAACACGGAAAAGGGAUUAGAUACCCCAGUACUAUUAGCAGAAAAUGAUGAAUGUCAUAGGUUAGAGUUAUAUAAAAUUUGGUCUAUAAACGAAAGUGUAAGCAUUCCACCUCAAGAGUAAUUUGGCAACAUUGGAAUUGAAAUCAUUAGACCGUAUCUGAAACCAGUAGUGAAGUAUGUUGUUUAAUUUGAUAACCCGCAAAGAACCUUACCACAGUUUGAAUGUCUAUAUUUGAACACAAGCGUUGCACGGCUGUCUUCAGUUAAUGUCGUGAGAUUUUGGUUAGUUCCAUUAAAUUAACGUAAACCCUUACUUUAUUUUUAAUUUUAAUUAAAAAGUUUUUAUUACAAAUUUAAUAAAGUAGUUCGCCAUUAUAUCGGAUAUGAUAAGAGGGACUAAGACAAGUCAUCAUGGCCUUAAUGCUGUGGGCUAUAGACGUGCCACAUAUGCCUUACAAAGGGAUGCAAUAUUGUGAAAUGGAGCUAAUCCCAUCAAAAAAGGAUAGAAGCUUUAU
rnacentral:rRNA from 1 species